rnacentral:rRNA from 1 species
GACACGCUGGCGGCGUUGGAUUAGGCAUGCAAGUCGAACGGUAUCAUCCUUUCGGGGGUGAGAGAGUGGCGAACUGGUGAGUAACACGUAGGUUAUCUACCCUCAAGACGGGGACAACCCAGGGAAACUUGGGCUAAUACCGGAUGUGAGCAACUUUUAGUUGUUUGAAAGGUGGCGUAAGCUGUCGCUUGGGGAUGAGCCUGCGUCCUAUUAGUUAGUUGGUGAGGUAACGGCUCACCUAGGCAAUGAUAGGUAGGCGGCCUUAACGGGUGGUCGCCCACACUGGGAUUGAGAUACGGCCCAGACUCCUACGGGAGGCAGCAGUCGAGAAUAGUCUACAAUGGUCGGAAGACUGAUAGUGCGACGCCGCGUGAACGAUGAAUCCCUUCGGGGUGUAAAGUUCUUUUAUAUGUGAGCAGUGCUUCUUAUAUUAACAGUAUGGGGAGAGAGAUAUUAGCAUAUGAAUAAGCAACGGCUAACUCCGUG